rnacentral:miRNA from 1 species
AUAAUGAACCCACAUAAUGAGCCCU